UACCGUUCCACGUAAACAUAACUGCAAAUGAAGUCGCAUCCUGCAACCUUCUCCUCAUUUCGUAUACCCUAAUCUCCUCUCUCGAGCUGGACCAACCGUACACCGUCUCAUCUGCAGCCGACUCUCUUCGCUGGAGCCUCCAGUUUGCUCACUGUGUGGAUUUCUUGGGCAUAUGGAAGGUACGUUGGGUUAUAGUAUUGGUAAGACACACGGGAGUGGUGAUGACUCUAAUUCUGGUCCUAUAGAUGUGGAGGAGCAUGAGAGUCUUCCAAUGCAUUCCUUCUCAAAUACACAAAGCCCUCUCUCUUUCCUCCCACAACGAUCAGUGGAGUAUGAUCCAGAAGAAGCAAGGGUGGCAAUGGCUAAGUUCUUUAUUACAUCUGAAUUGCCUUUUAGGAUUGUGGAGCAUGAAGCGUUUGUGGAGCUUGUGGAGAACUUGGAACCUAGGUUCACAUUGCCAUCACAGGCCACCUUACGAAAAGAUUGUAUGAACUUGUACAAGGACGAGAAGAGAAAGUUAAAGAAUUUGUUGAGGGGCCAAGGGAUUUGUCUUACCAUUGAAACAUGGACAUCGGAAGAAACUUUGAACUAUUUGUGCAUCACUGCACAUUUCAUUGAUUGCAAUUGAGAAUUUCAUAAGAAAAUCCUUAAGUUUUGCGUAGUUCUUGACCAGAAGGGUGAUACCAUUGGGACUAUGUUGGAGUCGGUAUUGGUAGAGUGGGGAUUGAUAAAAUUUAAUAACCAUAGUUGAUAAUGCUUGUUCUAAUGACGUUGCCAUUAAUUAUGUGAGAAGGGAGAUGCAAGAGAAGAAUCGCACCAUUUUGGGUGGUGAAUUUCUUCAGUUGCGGUGUGCUUCCCAUAUAUUGAAUCAUAUUGUAACCAAUAGUUUGAGAGAUGUCAAUGAUUCGGUAACAAGUAUUAGGGAUGCAGGUAGAUAUGUGAUAUCUUCACCGGAAUGGUUUGCCAAAUUUAUGGAUUAUGCAGAUAGGGAAAAUAUUAACAGGAGGGUGGUCUUAGAUGUUCUCACUAGAUGGAACUCCAUAUACUUGAUGUUGAAUAUUUCACAAAAAUAUCAAAAAGCAUUUGAACUAUUUGCGUCUGAGGAUUCUCAAUUCACUAACCCUACAUGUGAUGAUUGGGUAAAUACUUGAACUUUUGCGAAGUUGCUGAAAAUUUUUUAUGAUGUUACAUUGAAUAUUUCUGGUUCUCUGUAUGUUACUGCCAAUACAUAUUUUCCAAAGUUUUGCAUUCUUGAAGACGUAUUGAAUGAUAUGUGUAAAAGUAAUGAUCCUAUCAUGAAUGUCAUGGCAACUAAUUUGAAAAUUAAAUAUGACAAAUAUUGGGGAAGCAUUGAUAGGAUCAAUUUGAUGAUAUAUGUUGCUUUUGUUCUUGACCCAUGAUACAAGAUAAUGGCCAUGACAUUUUGGUUAAAAAGGUACAAAGGAGACGAGUUGGCAGACAAAAUAGAGGCGGAGGUGAGACUCCUUUUGAGCCGUUUGAUUGAGGAAUACAAUACAUUUCAUGGGGUUACUUAUGGGAGUUCUGAUAUGGCUAAAAAAAGGUUCAAUGCUACUUCCUUAAAUGUUGUUGAUGACUCAAGUCCAGUCUCAUCUCAGUUUGAUUCUCUUUUAAACCAAUUCCUUGAGGAGGAGAAUCAUAUGGAGUUCAAAUCAGAGUUGGAUUGGUAUUUGCUAGAUGGGCUUGAAGCAAGAUCACCUAAUUUUGAUAUUUUAGCUUGGCGGAAGAUGAAUGCAGUUAGAUAUCCUAUACUUGGAAAGAUAGCACGUGAUGUGUUAGCCACCCCAUUUCCACCUUUGCCUUGGAGUUUGCGUUUAGUGCCAAGGGACUCAUCUUGGAUCCCUUUAGAAGUUCAUUGGAUCCAAAGACUGUUGAAGCCCUCAUUUGCACCCAAAGUUGGUUAAGAGAGAAGCUAAUCAACGCUCGAGAGCUGAAGGAAUACUUUGAAGACAUUUACCUUGGAGAUGAUCGUCCUCCUUCAUCUUCAGCUUAAGCAUUUAUUGGCUAAAAUUUUGAUCAGGACCAAGCAACUGGUGAUGAAGCUAGAGUGGAAUGCUGAACUUUUGGAUUUCACUGAGAAACCAGAGGCUGCUUGUGUUGGAGCCAUGGAAUCUGGGAAGUGACCAAGAUCUGCUCGUGUUAGGAGUACCCAUUUAAUGAUUUUGCUAGAUUAUAGAUUUGGAUGAGACUUUGGCAAAGUUCGGUAAAUUGAGCGUACAUAAAAUCAUUGAAAGAGCCCCACUGCCCUUGUGAAAGGAAACUGUAUAGCAAUGCUGUUAGAUUUGUGACUUCAAGUUGGUUGACAAAUUUCCACCAGUUUACUUCUGAAAGAAUACUUGGAGAAUGCUCCUUUUGACAGGCCAAUGCAUGGUGCAGUAGUUAUGACUGGCCAGUGUACAAAGAUUGCCAGCAGCAUCCUACUAAAAAAUUUCUUAUACACAGAGCCUAGGCAUGGAUACGUGGUAAUAGAAUUCUUUUGGAAACUUGUUAGUACCACAUCUACUGAAUCACUUCCAUUCGUUAGGCAACUUGAAAUUUUAGCAUUAAUUCGUGUUACUAGCUGCAUUAUUGUCAA